UGAGUAACCUGCCCUUAACUCUGGGAUAAGCCUGGGAGACUGGGUCUAAUACCGGAUAUGACUCCUCAUCGCAUGGUGGGGGGUGGAAAGCUUUAUUGUGGUUUUGGAUGGACUCGCGGCCUAUCAGCUUGUUGGUGAGGUAAUGGCUCACCAAGGCGACGACGGGUAGCCGGCCUGAGAGGGUGACCGGCCACACUGGGACUGAGACACGGCCCAGACUCCGUACGGGAGGCAG
rnacentral:rRNA from 1 species